GACGAACGCUGGCGGCGUGCCUAACACAUGCAAGUCGAGCGGGGUUGAAGCGAGGGGUAACUCGGACUUCUACCUAGCGGCGGACGGGUGAGUAACGCGUGGGCAACCUGCCUUUCACUGGGGGAUAACACAGGGAAACCUGUGCUAAUACCGCAUGACAUCACGUAGGGCAUCCUAUGUGAUCAAAGGAGAGGUCCGGUGGAAGAUGGGCCCGCGUCCAAUUAGCUGGUUGGUGAGGUAAAGGCUCACCAAGGCGACGAUUGGUAGCCGAACUGAGAGGUUGAUCGGCCACAUUGGGACUGAGACACGGCCCAGACUCCUACGGGAGGCAGCAGUGGGGAAUAUUGCGCAAUGGGGGGAACCCUGACGCAGCAACGCCGCGUGAAGGAAGAAGGUCUUCGGAUUGUAAACUUCUUUGAUGAGGGACGAAUAAAGUGACGGUACCUCAAAACAAGCCACGGCUAACUACGUGCCAGCAGCCGCGGUAAAAGUCAUGUCG
rnacentral:rRNA from 1 species